rnacentral:rRNA from 1 species
UACGUAGGGGGCAAGCGUUGUUCGGAAUUACUGGGCGUAAAGCGCACGCAGGUGGCUAUGCAAGUCGGAUGUGAAAGCCCCGGGCUCAACCUGGGAACUGCAUUCGAUACUGCAUAGCUAGAGUAUGGGAGAGGGAAGUGGAAUUCCCGGUGUAGCGGUGAAAUGCGUAGAUAUCGGAAGGAACACCAGUGGCGAAAGCGACUUCCUGGACCAAUACUGACGCUCAGGCGCGAAAGCGUGGGGAGCAAACAGG